GUACUUCAGCAACACACAUAGCGAAAUCAGAAUGACACAGAGAAGAUUAGCAUGGCCCCUGCACAAGGACGACAUGCAAAUUUCAUGAAGCAUUCCAUAUUUUU
rnacentral:snRNA from 1 species